GUGGCCGAGUGGUUAAGGCGAUGGACUCGAAAUCCAUUGGGGUCUCCCCUUUUAUUACUCAAAGGUUCGAAUCCUUCGUUACA